rnacentral:tRNA from 1 species
GGGCGCAUGGUCUAGUGGUUAUGAUGCCGCGCUUACGACGCGGAGGUCUCCGGUUCAAUUCCGGAUGCGCCCA